AAUGAGUUGAAUUUAGUUUUGUCCACAGGACAAAGAGAAUGGAAAGAUGAUAGAGUGAGGAAGGGCAUCAUAGGCACAGGUGAUGGUGUGAGAGCACGCAAGGAGGUAUAUGACAGUCCAUCCGCAGGCUCCAUCUCCUCUUCUUUCAGCUGCUCCAUCUAUGACAUGACAUAUAACCUAGUUGUUAAAAGUGUCUUUUGGAGUCAGGCCGCUUGGGUUCAUAACCCAACUGUUUCAUGCAUUAAGCUGUUUGAUUUUUGGAAGAUUGCCUAACCUUUCUCUGAUAUAGUUUUCUGGUCAGUAAAAUGAGAAUAGUAAUAUUACCUACUUUAUAGGGUUGUUGUGAAAAUUAAACAAAUUAAUUUACAUAAAGCAAUUAGAACAGUGUCUGCCAUGUAGUGAGUGGAAUUGGUUGGGUGUGCUUUGAACACCAUGGCAGUUAUGAAUGGCAGGUUAUAGAUGCUACAGGAAUUUCAGAAGCAAGUUCUCUGGAUGCAAGUUCUCUGAAUGCUGACUGAAUGCAUAAGGUGAGAGAGGAAGAAGUACUGAAAUUCUGGUGACCAUCUCUGUCCCAGAAGGACAGUGCCUUUGGUGCAAUUUGGUGUCCAUUUAGGGGUGGGCUGAGGGGGCAGCUCAGCAUAGGUGACCUGCCCAGUCAAUCCCUGUUCCCCAAGAGCCUUUACUGAGAGUGCAUUAGCACAGGCUCAGGAGCAAGUUGUUCCUUAGUUGGCAGUUGGAGUUUCUGGCACAAAGAGUGUGGAUUCCAGAAGAAGCCACAGGGAGCUGGAGGCUCUAAGGGUUGGCUUGGCAUGUCUUUGAAGUUAAAGCCUCUGGGCAUCUGUGUGCUUAGGCAAAGGCCAGAGGCCACAGAGCUGAGCGAGGUCACCACUAUCCCCAGCAUGGGGACAGCAUGCCCUUCAAGCCCAGGGACCAGCCUGCAGUCCUGGAUUAGAUCACUCAGAAAUCACAGACCUCAGGAAUCAAGUUUAAUAAUACUACAAAUAUUAAGUGAUACAAAAAGAAAACUCGACAGGAAGAAGAUGAUUGAAAUAAUAGCCGCCAUUUAUGAAAUAUUUAAUUAUAUCCCAGGUACUGUGCUAGGCUCUUUACACGCAUUAACUCAUUUACUACUCACAUCUCUCUCUUAAGUGGUACUUUUAUGUUUAUUUCACGUUACAGGUAAAGACACAGAGACAAAGAAAGAUAUAGCAACCUGCCCAAGGUUUUACACAUAGCAAGUGGCAGAAAUGGGGUUUGAUUCCUGACUCAUCAUACCCAAGAGCAGUACUGUUCAAUACAACUUUCUGCGAUGAUGAAAAUUCUCUACCUGUUGUUGGAUAUGGUAGCCUCUAGCCACAUGGAGUUAUU
rnacentral:lncRNA from 1 species